rnacentral:RNase_P_RNA from 2 species
UCCUCGCCAAAGCUGCGUUUCUUUGCUACACUCGCCAGUUAUACUGGAGUCAUCCUUGCAAAUGAGAAAUUCGGAGUAUUCUUCACUUUCAACCCGCUUCUGCACACCCAUGAAGAAGCUAGGUACUGCCCGUGAGGGCCUGGCAUGAAAAGUGUCUGCAAUCAGGCAUCAGAAACAUCGGGGGAUUGGAGGGCUUCGGAGAAAUCUUGAGUCCUCCCUUCACCCCUUGGGAGAGCCGUUGCGAAGAUUGUGUGUGUCUUUUGUUCCCUCGGGACAAGAGAUGCGACACCUAAGUGCAAUACGCAGCGUGCCUUGCGCCUUCGAAAGAGGGAGCGGGUACCAUUCGAUUCCGAUUACUCUGGCGAGGA